UCCGGUUGAUCCUGCCAGAGGCCGCUGCUAUCCGGCUGGGACUAAGCCAUGCUAGUCUAGGGGCUUGUACCCCUUCGGGGGUGCAAGCACCGGCGGACGGCUCAGUAACACGUGGACAACCUGCCCUCGGGUGGGGGAUAACCCCGGGAAACUGGGGCUAAUCCCCCAUAGGUGAUGGGUGCUGGAAUGCCCCAUCUCCGAAAGCGCUCAGCGCCCGAGGAUGGGUCUGCGGCGGAUUAGGUAGUUGGUGGGGUAACGGCCCACCAAGCCUAAGAUCCGUACGGGCUGUGGGAGCAGGAGCCCGGAGAUGGACCCUGAGACAAGGGUCCAGGCCCUACGGGGCGCAGCAGGCGCGAAACCUCCGCAAUGCGGGAAACCGCGACGGGGUUAGCCGGAGUGCCCGUGCAUUGCACGGGCUGUCGGGGUGCCUAAACAGCACCCCAUAGCAAGGGCCGGGCAAGGCCGGUGGCAGCCGCCGCGGUAAGACCGGCGGCCCGAGUGGCGGCCACUCUUAUUGGGCCUAAAGCGUCCGUAGCCGGCCCAGUAAGUCCCCCGGGAAAUCUGGUCGCUUAACGAUCAGACUUCCGGGGGAUACUGCUGGGCUAGGGACCGGGAGA
rnacentral:rRNA from 1 species